GGGGAUGUAGUUCAGUGGUACAGCACUUGCCUGACAAGUAGAAGGCCUGGGUUCAAUCCCUAGUACUGUUA
rnacentral:tRNA from 1 species